GUCGACACAAGGAAGAGCAGAUGCUGGUUUACAAAGAAGACAGAGUGCUGGAGUAACUCAGCGGGUAAGGCAGCAUCCCUGGAGAACAUGGAUCGAUUCGCAGCUCUAUAAUCAUCAUCAGUACACGAGAUCUUAAGAAGGGUCUCCUAUUCCUUCUCUCCAGAGAUGCUGCCUGUCCCGCUGAGUUCCUCCAGCUUUUUGUGUAUUUCAUCAGUUACACGAGAAUGGUUGUGAUUUAGUCUCGAAGAAUAAUUUGUGAAUUGCAAAUCUAUUUGCACUUAAUUAAUGGUCAGAUUGAAAUAA